rnacentral:tRNA from 1 species
AUUUAUUUAGUUUAACAAAACAUUUUAUUUUCAUUAAAAAAAAGGAUAAAUUUUCCAAUAAGU